CCCCAAAAUUCAUGCCCUGUCAGGAGUAUGGGUCCUGCUCAGUGGCUGCCUUUAAGAGUGGCUGUGUUGGCAUAUGUGUCCAUGUGUGUUUAUGCAUGUGUAUGUUGCACACAUGGACAAAUACAUGCAUGCGCAUGAUUUGAGGGGGAUGUGCACAAGUGUGUUGUAUGGGUAUGUGAGUGAUUGUUUGAAAGGAGGUCUGCAUUAGUGGGUGAGUUCAGGAGUGGGUAUAUGCAUGCAUAUGUGCGUUACUAUAUAUGUGUUUGCGCAUGUGUGUAUGCGUAAGGGGUUGGAAAGUCUUGCAAAGAGAGGGUGCUGUGCGUUAGUUUUGGAAAAAAACAUUGGAGAUUGGACUUCAUAGAUGGAAUUCCCAAGCCUUGAAUCCGGUUGGAACAAGGGACUGUCCACAUGAAGACCCUUCUGUUGUUGGCCUUGACCAUGGCCUUUGGUGCUGCGCCACACAUGACUGUUGCUACAGAUGUCUGGAGAAGCAGAAAUGUGGCACCAAGUAUCUGAACUACAAUUUUGCUUACCGAAAGGGCCAAAUCGUCUGUGACUCUGUCCACACCUUUGGGAACCCCUGGACCUGCUGGGGUUGGACCCCAACAUCUGGCACCCGAACUGGGUUCCUCUAUGUAAGUCUCCCCUUACUUGGGACGGAUAGGACUGCACCGUAGGGUGCUGCAGACCCUCCUACAGAGGAUAAGUAGGGUAAGCGAGUAGAUAGUACAGAACUUAGAUUGUGAAGAUGGGUCAUACUGAAUCUAAAGAAAAAAGACUCUGUAUUAAUCUUUUAACGCAUAUGCUUGCUAGCAGAGGAGUUAAGGUUACUCCCAGUCAGACAGAAAGUUUUAUACAAGACGUAUGUCCAUGGCUUCCUGAGGAUGGAACUGUUAAUUUAGAAACUUGGACUAAAGUAGGAGAGCAAUUAAAGAAUUAUUACAGCUACGAUGGAUCUGAGAUGGUCCCGGCAGAUACCUUUUCCCUCUGGAAUUCAAUUCGUGACACCUUGGCACCAGAGGCAGAAACGGUUGAACUUUCUCAAACUUUAAAUAGUCCUUCGGCUCCACCUAAAGAGGACACAUCUUUAUUGUCUCCAGCUCAAUCUAAGAGCAAUUUAGCUAUGCCUACUGAUCGGAAGGAGAAUAAAUAUCAUAAACAUGACCAUUGGCACUUUCCAGUCAGUAGAGAGGAGAGAGGCCCUCCCAUUCAAAACAGGCUACCCAAAUUAGAAAGAAAGCCUAAACCAGGUUCUGCGGCUCCUAUGAGCUCCAUGUCUAAAUUUCAAAGGGCGAUAAGAGAAGCUGAAGCUAAUGGAGAUCUUGAAUUCUCACUCUGCUUCCCAGUUGCAUAUGAGAAUGAGUUUGGUGAGGACGAAAACCCCACCUGUGAGCCUAUACCUUACAAAAUAUUUAAAGAAUUAAAAUUGGCCUGCUCUGAAUAUGGACCUCUAGCUCCUUACACACAAACCUUGGUAGAAGCCCUAGCCAGUAAAUGGAUGACUCCUUAUGACUGGUCACAGGUUUGUAAAGCCUGUCUCUCCAGAGGCGAUUACUUAUUAUGGAAAACUGAAUAUGAUGAUCUUGCUAAGAGAGCUGUAGCCACUAGCAAAAAUUCCAGAGGAGGAAUAACCCUAGACAUGAUAUUAGGAGAAGGUGAUUUUAACACGGCUCAGGAGCAAAUGUGUAUGCCCAAAGAGGCACGUAUUAAAGUAACCAGUUGUGCAGUAAAUGCCUGGAAAUCCCUACCUUGUACAGCAGGAAAAACAACCACCCUUACAGAGGUUAAACAGAAGGCCGAGGAACCAUAUCAGGAUUUCCUUUCUCGCCUCAUACAGGUAGUCAAGAGAGUAAUCAAUAACGAAGAGGCAGCCAAUAUCCUAAUUAAACAACUGGCUUUUGAAAAUGCUAAUAAUACCUGUCAGGCUUUAUUAAGGCCGAUUCGCACAACAGGAACUAUAAAUGAUUUUAUAAAACAGUGCGCUGAUGUAAGUCCAGCAUUUAUACAGGGUGCAGCUAUGGCUGCAGCUCUCAAAGGGGAGACAUACCCUCAAUAUGUACAGGGCAUAGGACAAUCCAUCAAUAAUAUAGGUAAUAAAAGAAAUAUGAACUGCUACUCUUGUGGCUUAUCUGGGCACUUUAGCAGAGAAUGCCCCCGCAAAAAUAAUAAUACUCAAGCCAGAUGGCAAACUCCUCGACAGCCUGGAAAUACAUCAGGGAAUAAUAUUAUUUCUCCAAAAACUAUUUGUCCCCGAUGUCAGAAAGGAUUCCAUUGGGCAAAGGAAUGUAGAUCAAAAUACCAUAAAAAUGGUCGCCCUUUAAAAAUUCUAUAAACCACUCCCAAGGAGGUUAUAUCCCAUCACCUCAAUUGGGAAACUUGAGAAGGGGCCAGCCCCAGGCUCCUGCAAUAAUAGGGGCAUCAACCCUCAACCCCUCUGCAAAUUUCAAUCAGUCAGUGACCUCUUCAGGGCAACCCCAGGCAGUGCAGGAUUGGACCUCCAUUCAACCACCCAUGCAAUACUAACCCCAGACUUGCCAGUAGCAGCCAUUCCUACAGGAGUGUCUGGGCCGCUGCCUGAGGGAACUGUAGGUUUAAUAUUAGGACGGAGCUCCACCUCGUUACAGGGGAUCUUAGUCAUCCCAGGAGUUGUUGAUGCAGACUACACAGGAGAAAUACAGAUUUUACUUUCCCCACCCACCACAACUAUACAGAUUCAGCCCAACCAGAGAAUUGUCCGAUUACUCCUGUUACCAAUACAUAAAAUAGGGACAACUGUUACCCAGGAAGCCAGAGGGGCUGGAGGCUUUGGAUCUGGUGAUGCAGCAUGUUGGAUACAAGAAAUCCAUGCUGCUAGACCUACAAAAAUUUUACAAAUUCAGGGAAAACCAAUUGAAGGUUUAUUGGGUACAGGAGCAGAUGUUUCCUGCAUAGCAGGGAAGGAUUGGCCCUCUUCAUGGCCCAUGCACACCACCUCCACUUCCCUAGUAGGACUAGGCAAGGCAUCUAAUGUAAAAAAGAGUUCUCAGAUUUUAACUUGGGCUGAUGGGGAUCAACAUUCAGGAACAUUCUGUCCCUAUGUAAUUACGACUAUCCCUUUUACAUUAUGGGGAAGAGAUAUCUUAUCUCAAAUGGGCGUUCUAUUAUAUAGCCCCAGUGGUGUUUGAUUUACUCCGUUACAAAAAAUUACAAGAAAAUGAGUUUAAAUAUUCCUCUCCUCAUCAUGUUCUACAACAUACUCUAUUUGUAAUUAAUAUACUAAAUGUAGGUUCUGAGGGAAAUUCCCCGAUGUACAGACAUUGGAACCCUGAUCUAACUAAACCUGAAGCCCUCAUCAAAUGGAGAGACUUGCUUACAGGAGCCUGGAAGGGACCUGAAGUACUUUUAACGUGGGGGAGAGGAUAUGCUUGUAUAUUUCCACAGGACACAGACUCACCUGUGUGGAUUCCAGACCGUCUAGUCUGACCUUAUGUCUCACCGCCCUCCGUCUCCGCCUCACCUUAGCACACCUGACCAGUGUCCGUCUGUAGCAGAUGUGCAGCCCUGAGCUGAAACAACCUGUCAUUGGGAGGAUCACAUUUGCCUCCUUUUUGUCUGUCCAUAUGUCCCAGCUUUGCCCCACAUCUCCUUUCCUUUUUUUUUCUUUUUUUUAAUCUGACAACUUGUUUGCUGGUUCUUUGGCCUUUCUCCUGAACACAGCCUUUUCUAGAAUCUCCCUACUCUACUGUUCCAGGAAGAGCACCUCCCUUUUCUGCCAUGACUAUGGGGUGUCUGGUAUAUGUCCCAUACAUGGAGUUGUCUUGUGCCAAGAGCCUGACAUCCUGGGCUGAGAAAGCCCUUCCUGGGACUCUCCUUUGUCCAGUAUUGGCCCCUCUUGCCCUUGUGUCAAGAGGGACCCCCUUCUCACAGUCCAUUUGCCCACAGCUUUUGCCUGGGCUUUCUGUUCAUGCUGAAGUUGAGGCCUCGUGGUGGCCGGUGCGAUUGAUCUGCCUCUCGCCCAAUGGUGUGAGCUGGGCCCUCCCUGGAGAAGAAACCUGGGUUCCCCAAGAGAUGUGACCAGAGCCGGGGCCCCGCCAGCAGGCGAGGGGAGCCCAAGGCAGGUGCUGGGCGUGGAGGCCACAGGGGCAUAGGCUACCAAGGAGACAGAACUGAACCUCUUGCAGGGGGGCGCUGCCCCUCCCUCAUUCGCAAACCUCACAUCACCCUGCUUGGCCCCGGAGGAUGGCUGGUUAGCCAGAGACGGGUAAGAUUCCUCAGGGAAGGAACAACCUAAGACAGGCACAGUCGCAGAGGGGCCAUCAGGAGACAACUUGGGGGUCAACAGAGGUGGGGCACAGACCCUCACCCCCCCAACUUUGCAGAGGCCUGAACCCUCACCCCUUCUGAGGGAGGUCUCCUGCCCCCGUGGCUGCUUCACUUCCCACGCCCAGCUCAGAUCGGGACCCAGGUAAAGACAGAGACCGGCUGACAGCAGCUGCCCUCUCACUGCAACAGGACUUGUUUCCCAUUUCCACCUUGGACCACAGGGAAAGGGGAAGCUGAAGGAAAGGGCUGUGUCAGGAUGCUGCCUUCUUCCCUUUCUUCUCCCUCUUUUUUCUAAAUACUUCCAUGCCUUGUAGUUCUUUUGCUUUCUCUUCUUUUUCUCUCUACUACCCUCCAUCUUCCAUAUCAGCCAACCCAGAGGGCACAGCUUACUCCUCCUCGGACACCAACACCACCAUUAAACGCAGCCCUGAUGGACCCUUUGAUCCAGCCAUUCAACUCGCUGAUGCUUCGGGAAGCCUGUCGCCAAUGACGCCGCCCGCUAGCCAGAUCAACAAGGACAACCAAACCACCGACUUGAGGCCAGCUGAAAUCCCUUGACUGAAGGGGCCAGCAACCUUCUACAGGAACGGGGCUCCUGUGCGCUCCAUCCACUAUGUUUACAGCUAUGCUUAUUGUCAUUGCUUGCCAGUCUUCUUCCGAGUCUUAAACAGCCCAAUCUGAGAGGUGGCCACUGAUUUGCAUGUGUUAUCACUUAAAAAAUAAAAAAGGGGGGAUUUGCCGAAAGCCAGUCCAUCCUUGCUGCUUAACACAGUCGCUGCAGAAAAGAAACAUCUGAAGAGCAUAUGUUUCAAGGGAUCUGGCCUAUAUAGCAUACUGUUCUUAAUAUGUUUGCUCCCCUUAGCGCUAUGUGUUUUAACCACGGUCACCUCUCUGAGAAAGGUUGUUUCCCCAGGUAGGGAUUUUUCCCUGAAGUUAGGGAGGGGAUAAAACCCCUUAACUAAAUGCCUGGUGGGUAGUUAAUCACUUUAACUAUGAAUAAUCACCCUUAAGCUACAUAAUCUUUACUCCCUGGAAUGGAGAUAAGAAAUGCCCUAACCUUUGGAAUAGAAAUUGACAGGAUUAAAAUCAACUGGUAUAAAUACAGAUGUAAAAAGACAAUAAAAGACAAACAGAACUUGGUUGGA